rnacentral:rRNA from 1 species
GAUGAACGCUGGCGGCGUGCCUAAUACAUGCAAGUCGAGCGAACAGAUAAGGAGCUUGCUCCUUUGACGUUAGCGGCGGACGGGUGAGUAACACGUGGAUAACCUACCUAUAAGACUGGGAUAACUUCGGGAAACCGGAGCUAAUACCGGAUAACAUAUUGAACCGCAUGGUUCAAUAGUGAAAGGCGGCUUUGCUGUCACUUAUAGAUGGAUCCGCGCCGUAUUAGCUAGUUGGUAAGGUAACGGCUUACCAAGGCAACGAUACGUAGCCGACCUGAGAGGGUGAUCGGCCACACUGGAACUGAGACACGGUCCAGACUACUACGGGAGGCAGCAGUAGGGAAUCUUCCGCAAUGGGCGAAAGCCUGACGGAGCAACGCCGCGUGAGUGAUGAAGGUCUUCGGAUCGUAAAACUCUGUUAUCAGGGAAGAACAAAUGUGUAAGUAACUGUGCACAUCUUGACGGUACCUGAUCAGAAAGCCACGGCUAACUACGUG